GACAGAGGGUGCAAACGUUGUUCGGAUUUACUGGGCGUAAAGCGCGUGUAGGCGGCUUUACAAGUCGGAUGUGAAAGCCCACGGCUCAACCGUGGAAGUGCAUCCGAAACUGUAUCGCUGGAGUCCCGGAGAGGAAGGUGGAAUGCUUGGUGUAGAGGUGAAAUUCGUAGAUAUCAAGCAGAACACCUGCGGCGAAGGCGGCCUUCUGGACGGUGACUGACGCUGAGACGCGAAAGCGUGGGGAGCAAACAGG
rnacentral:rRNA from 2 species